GGGAGACACACGGCGGGUGCUAACGUCCGUCGUGAAGAGGGAAACAACCCAGACCGCCAGCUAAGGUCCCAAAGUCAUGGUUAAGUGGGAAACGAUGUGGGAAGGCCCAGACAGCCAGGAUGUUGGCUUAGAAGCAGCCAUCAUUUAAAGAAAGCGUAAUAGCUCACUGGUCGAGUCGGCCUGCGCGGAAGAUGUAACGGGGCUAAACCAUGCAC
rnacentral:rRNA from 1 species